rnacentral:rRNA from 1 species
GCAAGUCGAACGAGUUCUCGUUGAUGAUCGGUGCUUGCACCGAGAUUCAACAUACAAUGAGUGGCGGACGGGUGAGUAACACGUGGGUAACCUGCCCCUAAGUGGGGGAUAACAUUUGGAAACAGAUGCUAAUACCGCAUAGAUCCAAGAACCGCAUGGUUCUUGGCUGAAAGAUGGCGUAAGCUAUCGCUUUUGGAUGGACCCGCGGCGUAUUAGCUAGUUGGUGAGGUAAUGGCUCACCAAGGCGAUGAUACGUAGCCGAACUGAGAGGUUGAUCGGCCACAUUGGGACUGAGACACGGCCCAAACUCCUACGGGAGGCAGCAGUAGGGAAUCUUCCACAAUGGACGCAAGUCUGAUGGAGCAACGCCGCGUGAGUGAAGAAGGCUUUCGGGUCGUAAAACUCUGUUGUUGGAGAAGAAUGGUCGGCAGAGUAACUGUUGUCGGCGUGACGGUAUCCAACCAGAAAGCCACGGCUAACUACGUGCCAGCAGCCGCGGUAAUACGUAGGUGGCAAGCGUUAUCCGGAUUUAUUGGGCGUAAAGCGAGCGCAGGCGGUUUUUUAAGUCUGAUGUGAAAGCCCUCGGCUUAACCGAGGAAGCGCAUCGGAAACUGGGAAACUUGAGUGCAGAAGAGGACAGUGGAACUCCAUGUGUAGCGGUGAAAUGCGUAGAUAUAUGGAAGAACACCAGUGGCGAAGGCGGCUGUCUGGUCUGUAACUGACGCUGAGGCUCGAAAGCAUGGGUAGCGAACAGGAUUAGAUACCCUGGUAGUCCAUGCCGUAAACGAUGAAUGCUAGGUGUUGGAGGGUUUCCGCCCUUCAGUGCCGCAGCUAACGCAUUAAGCAUUCCGCCUGGGGAGUACGACCG